rnacentral:tRNA from 1 species
AGGCACGUAGCUCAGUUGGUUAGAGCACCACCUUGACAUGGUGGGGGUCGUUGGUUCGAGUCCAAUCGCGCCU